UACGUAGGGUGCGAGCGUUAAUCGGAAUUACUGGGCGUAAAGUGUGCGCAGGCGGCCGCGCAAGUCGAGUGUGAAAGCCCCGGGCUUAACUUGGGAAUUGCGCUCGAAACUACGUGGCUGGAGUGUGGCAGAGGGGGAUGGAAUUCCGCGUGUAGCAGUGAAAUGCGUAGAUAUGCGGAGGAACACCGAUGGCGAAGGCAAUCCCCUGGGCCUGCACUGACGCUCAUGCACGAAAGCGUGGGGAGCAAACAGG
rnacentral:rRNA from 1 species